AACGGGCAAGGAGCUGCCGGCUCUCUAUAUCCCGCUGCUCAGAGGCGCUCUGACUCCAUUCACUUCAGAGUCCCACACUGUCAAGGACCUGUGCAGACUGGUGCAAGGCAAGCUCUGGAUAGCAAACAACGGCAGACUUCUCCCUUGUGAUUUUCCAACAGGACCUGCGCGAUUGGAUUAUAUUCUUCUAGGACUAUUAAAUAAUAUCAAAGAAAAAACGUGCGUCUAUAUUCUGGUUAUUCUGACGGCCGCGCGUUUUGUUUGGUCUUUCAGUCAACUGGGCUGAAGUUGGGAGCUUGUUUUUCAGGGUUGAAGGACAAGUGCAAUGCUCUUCACACCGGUCUCUGCCUGAGGAGCUGCAGAUCGAGCAGCCGCGCGGAUCUCGUUCAAGAGGACGCGGUCCAAUGUGAAUGACCAGAGACGGCGUCCAGCCUCUUCAGCUUUUCACAGCUGCAAACGAGUGCACGGAGUUCGACCGAGCCCGCUGAGCAGCUCGGACACCCCAGUUGUCCCCCCGAGGGGAUGGUUGUGGAUCCUGUGGGGCCAGGAGCGAUUCUGCGGCUCCUACAGAUUAGCACCUUUUUCUCGUUCGGGGUUCGAUCUGAAUUAAAGGGAGAUGAGAGGCGCACUUUGUUACUUCCUGCUGUGGACGACGUACCUGCUGCUGGCCACCUCUGAGGAAGUGGAGUUUCCCCAGGAGCUGAUAGACAGACUGUCCCACAGUGAAAUCCACAGCAUCAGCGACCUCCAGCGGCUACUGGACAUUGACUCCGUAGGUACGGGAAACAAUGUUAUCGAGGAACCCAAGCACCACAAGCACCACAACCAGCAUAAGAACUACUCCCGUCAACACGGUUACUACAACGACCUGAAGAGCUCGCAGCUCCACAGCCGACGCAAGAGGAGCAUUGUAGAGGAGGCGGUCCCGGCGGCGUGUAAGACGCGGACGGUGAUCUACGAGAUCCCCAGGAGCCAGGUGGAUCCCACGUCUGUCAACUUCCUGAUAUGGCCACCCUGUGUGGAGGUGAAACGCUGCACAGGCUGUUGCAACACAAGCAACAUGCGCUGCCAGCCGUCCCGCAAGCACCAUCGCACCGUUAAGGUGGCUAAGGUGGAGUACGUGAAGAGGAGACCCAAGCUGAAAGAGGUCUUUGUGCGGUUAGAAGAUCACCUGGAGUGUGUGUGUGCAUCACAACAUCAUGUGGUGGAGCACUCCGAUGCAGAAACAGGCCACCGUAGGGCUAAAGGUAAAAAAAGAAAACCUAAAAAGCUAAGGCCCAGCAAGGAAAUAUUGGCGACAUAAUAAAAGUUGCACUCAGUACCCAAAGUCCACUGAAGAGCUGUGGAGGGAACAGUGGACGUGAGGUGAGAGCAAUCGGAGCAAAUGACUUCAGCGUGGGAGGGACCUCACAAAGGAUGUCACCAACAGGAGGCCCGCUCGCUCCUCUUCCACACAGACCUUCAUUUUAAAAGGACAAGACUCCAGACUAAAAAAAAAACAAACAACAGACCUAAAAGAAUGCCAAA